rnacentral:rRNA from 1 species
CCUACGGGUGGCAGCAGUGGGGAAUAUUGGACAAUGGGGGGAACCCUGAUCCAGCCAUGCCGCGUGUGUGAAGAAGGCCCUCGGGUUGUAAAGCACUUUCAGUGAGGAAGAACGCCUGGUGGUUAAUACCCAUCAGGAAAGACAUCACUCACAGAAGAAGCACCGGCUAACUCCGUGCCAGCAGCCGCGGUAAUACGGAGGGUGCGAGCGUUAAUCGGAAUUACUGGUCGUAAAGCGCGCGUAGGUGGCUUGAUAAGCCGGUUGUGAAAGCCCCGGGCUCAACCUGGGAACGGCAUCCGGAACUGUCAAGCUAGAGUGCAGGAGAGGAAGGUAGAAUUCCCGGUGUAGCGGUGAAAUGCGUAGAGAUCGGGAGGAAUACCAGUGGCGAAGGCGGCCUUCUGGACUGACACUGACACUGAGGUGCGAAAGCGUGGGUAGCAAACAGGAUUAGAUACCCUAGUAGUC